GACGAACGCUGGCGGCGUGCUUAACACAUGCAAGUCGAACGGAAAGGCCCUGCUUUUGUGGGGUGCUCGAGUGGCGAACGGGUGAGUAACACGUGAGUAACCUGCCCUUGACUUUGGGAUAACUUCAGGAAACUGGGGCUAAUACCGGAUAGGAGCUCCUGCUGCAUGGUGGGGGUUGGAAAGUUUCGGCGGUUGGGGAUGGACUCGCGGGUUAUCAGCUUGUUGGUGGGGUAGUGGAUUUCCAAGGCUAUGACGGGUAGCCGGCCUGAGAGGGUGACCGGCCACAUUGGGACUGAGAUACGGCCCAGACUCCUACGGGAGGCAGCAGGGGGGAAUAUUGCACAAUGGGCGGAAGCCUGAUGCAGCAACGCCGCGUGCGGGAUGACGGCCUUCGGGUUGUAAACCGCUUUCGCCUGUGACGAAGCGUGAGUGACGGUAAUGGGUAAAGAAGCACCGGCUAACUACGUG
rnacentral:rRNA from 1 species